rnacentral:rRNA from 1 species
UACAGAGGUCUCAAGCGUUGUUCGGAUUCAUUGGGCGUAAAGGGUGUGUAGGUGGCGCCGUAAGUCGGGUGUGAAAUCUCAGAGCUCAACUCUGAAACUGCACUCGAUACUGCUCUGCUUGAGGACUGGAGAGAGACUGGAAUUCACGGUGUAGCAGUGAAAUGCGUAGAUAUCGUGAGGAAGACCAGUGGCGAAGGCGGAUCUCUGGGCCUUACCUGACGCUC